UGGCUCUGGCAUCGAUGAAGAACGCAGCGAAAUGCGAUAAGUAAUGUGAAUUGCAGAAUUCAGUGAAUCAUCGAAUCUUUGAACGCACAUUGCGCCCGCCAGUAUUCUGGCGGGCAUGCCUGUCCGAGCGUCAUUUCAACCCUCAGGCCCCGCCUGGCGUUGGGGACCGGCGCGGCGCCCCCGGGCGCUGCCGGCCCCGAAAUACAGUGGCGGUCCCGCCGCGGCCCUCUGCGUAGUAGCAACACCUCGCACCGGAGCAGCGGCGGCGGCCACGCCGUGAAACACCCAACAUCUGAAAGUUGACCUCGGAUCAGGUAGGAAUACCCGCUGA
rnacentral:misc_RNA from 1 species